rnacentral:siRNA from 1 species
UGGGAAUGUGACACGUUUAGGCA